rnacentral:lncRNA from 10 species
CCUGCACUCUCAGGUGGGAAAGUGCUGGCAUGAAAAUGGGCUUGCAAAAGAUUUUUGUUUAUUCUGAGUUCUUGCCUUUGCAGGAGCUGAGGACCAGGAUGGGGAGGGAGAAGGCUCCAAGACAGCCCUGCAGCCUCUGAAACACUCUGACAGCAAAGAAGAUGAUGGACAAGAAAUAGCCUGACCAUGAGGACCAGGGAGCUGCUACCCCUCCCUACAGCUCCUACCCUCUGGCUGCAAUGGGGCUGCACUGUGAGCCCUGCCCCCAACAGAUGCAUCCUGCUCUGACAGUUGAUGUUUAUUGAGCAACUACAGAUGUCAGCACUGUGUUAGGUGCUGGGGGCCCUGCGUGGGAAGAUAAAGUUCCUCCCUCAAGGACUCCCCAUCCAGCUGGGAGACAGACAACUAACUACACUGCACCCUGCGGUUUGCAGGGGGCUCCUGCCUGGCUCCCUGCUCCACACCUCCUCUGUGGCUCAAGGCUUCCUGGAUACCUCACCCCC